AUAAGCUUAUCCCUUUUGAUUUGUAUUACUUCUUGCAUUUCAGAGUAUCCUACAGGUAUAAGCUUAUCCCAUUUGAUCUGUAUUGCCACAUACAUUGUAGAGUAUCCUACAGGUAUAAGCUUAUCCCAUUUGAUCUGUAUUACCUCAUACAUUGCAGAGUAUCCUACAGGUAUAAGCUUAUCCCUUUUGACUUGUAUUACUUCAUGCAUUACAGAGUAUCCAACAUGUACAAGCUUCUCCCUCUUGAUUUGUGUUACCUCGUACAUUGCAGAGUAUCAUUUAGGUAAAAUCUUAUCCAUUUUGAUUUGCAUUGCCUCAUACAUUUUAGAGUAUCAUACAGGUAUAAGCUCAAUGACAUUCAAUUGUAUUUAUUGUUGAAUAGUUGUAAAGUUCCUUUUGGAUUUGUUUUGUGAAAUAAAUGAUAUAUUUUUAAACCGA